GGAAUCGCUAGUAAUCGCGGAUCAGCAUGCCGCGGUGAAUACGUUCCCGGGCCUUGUACACACCGCCCGUCACACCAUGAGAGUCGGGAACACCCGAAGUCCGUAGCCUAACAGCAAUGGGGCGCGGCCGAAGGUGGGUUCGAUAAUUGGGGUGAAGUCGUAACAAGGUACC
rnacentral:rRNA from 1 species